GGCAGUGUGGUAUAGUGGUUUGAGCACUGGACUCUGAUUCUGGAGAUCAGAGUUCAAUUCCCAGCUUGACCA